GUUGCUUGUCUUUGAGAGAGAAGAGACCAGGAGAUGACAGGAUAUGCUAUGAACUCAUCGAAAAAGAGAGAGCACAAGAGUGCAGAGGAGCAGAAACAAGAAAAGAGAAGCAAAUGGCAGCACUGUGAGCCAUCUAAAAAAGCUGACCUGAGCUGUCCCUCUGAUGUGCCCAUUCCUAAUCCCGUCCAUUCUGGUCACUGGAUAAUGAGGUGGGAGAAAUGGCGGUGGACACAAUAGAUGGCAGAAUGUACGAGAGGACACUGAAGGCAACCCAGACAGAUAACCAGGUAAGUGGCACAGGUAGGUACAAAUCAGGUUUUGUUUCACAGGUAGAAUGAGGAUAAGAGGU